rnacentral:tRNA from 1 species
GGAUGGAUGUCUGAGCGGUUGAAAGAGUCGGUCUUGAAAACCGAAGUAUUGAUAGGAAUACCGGGGGGUUCGAAUCCCUCUCCAUCCG